UCGGGAAUUUUGGGCAAUGGGCGAAAGCCUGACCCAGCAACGCCGCGUGAAGGAUGAAGUAUUUCGGUAUGUAAACUUCGAAAGAAUAGGAAGAAUAAAUGACGGCACUAUUUAUAAGGUCCGGCUAACUACGUGCCAGCAGCCGCGGUAAUACGUAGGGACCAAGCGUUGUUCGGAUUUACUGGGCGUAAAGGGCGCGUAGGCGGCAAUUCAAGUCAUCUGUGAAAUCUCCGGGCUUAACUCGGAACGGUCAGAUGAUACUGCUUUGCUAGAGUGCAGAAGGGGCAAUCGGAAUUCUUGGUGUAGCGGUGAAAUGCGUAGAUAUCAAGAGGAACACCUGAGGUGAAGACGGGUUGCUGGGCUGACACUGACGCUGAGGCGCGAAAGCCAGGGGAGCAAACGGGAUUAGAUACCCUGGUAGUCCCUGAGCGGGCUGGCAAGGCGCAU
rnacentral:rRNA from 1 species